GACGGGGGAUGCAAGUGUUAUCCGGAAUCACUGGGCGUAAAGCGUCUGCAGGUGGUUUCCUAAGUCCACUGUUAAACCUUGAGGCUCAACCUCAAAUCUGCAUUGGAAACUAGGAGACUUGAGUAUAGUAGGGGCAGGGGGAAUUUCCAGUGGAGCGGUGAAAUGCGUAGAUAUUGGAAAGAACACCGAUGGCGAAGGCACUCUACUGGGCUAUUACUGACACUCAGAGACGAAAGCUAGGGGAGCAAAUGGG
rnacentral:rRNA from 1 species